UAUAUACUCCAUCCGUCCGAAAAUACUUGUCAUCAAAAUGGACAAAAAAGAAUGUAUCUAGAACUAAAAUACAUCUAGAUACAUCCUCUUUUAUUCAUUUUAAUGACAAGUAUUUCCGAACGAAGGGAGUAUUUU
rnacentral:pre_miRNA from 1 species